UACGGAAGGGGCUAGCGUUGGUAGGAAUUACUGGGCGUAAAGAGCGCGUAGGCGGCUUACCAAGUUGGGGGUGAAAUCCCGGAGCUCAACUCCGGAACUGCCUUCAAAACUGGUAGGCUCGAGUCCGGAAGAGGGGCGUGGAAUUCCCAGUGUAGAGGUGAAAUUCGUAGAUAUUGGGAAGAACACCGGUGGCGAAGGCGGCGCCCUGGUCCGGUACUGACGCUGAGGCGCGAAAGCGUGGGGAGCAAACAGU
rnacentral:rRNA from 1 species